rnacentral:rRNA from 1 species
ACGGAAGGCAGCGGUGAGGAAUAUUGGUCAAUGGGCGGAAGCCUGAACCAGCCAAGUUGCGUGAAGGAAGAAGGUAUUAUGUAUUGUAAACUUCUUUAGACGCAGAGAAUUAAGCUCCACGUGUGGAGUGAUGCUAGUAUGCGUAGAAUAAGGAUCGGCUAACUCCGUGCCAGCAGCCGCGGUAAUACGGAGGAUCCGAGCGUUAUCCGGAUUUAUUGGGUUUAAAGGGUGCGCAGGCGGCUCGUUAAGUCAGCGGUGAAAUGUCGGGGCUCAACCCGGGCACUGCCGUUGAAACUGGGGGGCUUGAGUACGGAUGAGGUCGGCGGAAUGUGACGUGUAGCGGUGAAAUGCAUAGAUAUGUCACAGAACACCGAUUGCGAAGGCAGCCGGCCAAUCCGCAACUGACGCUCAUGCACGAAAGCGUGGGGAUCGAACAGGAUUAGAUACCCUGGU